rnacentral:tRNA from 1 species
AUACUUUGGCAGAUUAGUGUGAUGGUUUUAGAACUCAUUUAUGUAAAUAUUUUACAAGUAAUA